rnacentral:rRNA from 1 species
UACAGAGGGGGCAAGCGUUGUUCGGAAUUACUGGGCGUAAAGGGCGCGUAGGCGGCCUUCUAAGUCGAACGUGAAAUCCCCGGGCUCAACCCGGGAACUGCGUCUGAUACUGGAAGGCUUGAAUCCGGGAGAGGGAUGCGGAAUUCCAGGUGUAGCGGUGAAAUGCGUAGAUAUCUGGAGGAACACCGGUGGCGAAGGCGGCAUCCUGGACCGGCAUUGACGCUGAGGCGCGAAAGCCAGGGGAGCAAACGGG